AUGCGAUGGAUCCAAAGGAUGCGAUGGAUAAAUAGAUAUUCUAUUUAUCCAUCGCAUCCAUUGGAUCCAUCGCAUCCAUUGGAUCCUUUUAAAACAGGAUCUAUUUAUCCAUCGCAUCCUUUGGAUCCAUCGCA